rnacentral:rRNA from 1 species
GACGAACGCUGGCGGCGUGCUUAACACAUGCAAGUCGAACGGAAAGGCCCUGCUUUUGUGGGGUGCUCGAGUGGCGAACGGGUGAGUAACACGUGAGUAACCUGCCCUUGACUUUGGGAUAACUUCAGGAAACUGGGGCUAAUACCGGAUAGGAGCUCCUGCUGCAUGGUGGGGGUUGGAAAGUUUCGGCGGUUGGGGAUGGACUCGCGGCUUAUCAGCUUGUUGGUGGGGUAGUGGCUUACCAAGGCUUUGACGGGUAGCCGGGCUGAGAGGGUGAACGGCCACAUAGGGACUGAGAUACGGCCCAGACGCCGACGGGAGGCAGCAGUGGGGAAGAUUGCACAAUGGGCGGAAGCCUGAUGCAGCAACGCCGCGUGCGGGAUGACGGCCUUCGGGUUGUAAACCGCUUUCGCCUGUGACGAAGCGUGAGUGACGGUAAUGGAUAAAGAAGCACCGGCUAACUACGU